rnacentral:lncRNA from 1 species
CAUGUUUCUUAUGGAUAUCUCGAGAGUCUGCAGGUAUUUUACUCUUUAAGAAGUAUGAUCACGUUCCUCAUUGAUUGAGAGUUGUGCUCUGUUGAAGUUGAGUCACGUGAUUCUUGAUUGACAAAUUGUUGCUCCGAAAUCUAAUUACCAUAUCUCUUGCUUGAAUCUUCAUUACUCGUCGCCACUUGACUUAAAAUAUAUCCUUUACUAAUCAAGUAGUCUCCUUCGAUAUAUUUUCUUUUUUCUUCUAAUGCUUGAGUUUACAAUUUGCCUACAUCUCACAACACAGAAGUGAUUUCUCAAAUAACAAUUUCACUGAAAUUACUUGCAAAUGAUUAAUGAUAAUAACAGAAUUCUACCCCUUUAUGUGCACUCAUCAGUGCAAGAAGUAUAGCAGAAAGUAGAUAAUUUACUCAAGCGCAUUAUUCUCUAUGGACUGCACCGGCUGUGCUAAACACACUUACUAUGUUUAUCUUAGCAAAACCAUGAUAUCCUCCCUAGGUUUCUAUGAUACAUAUACUGAAAUUGAUCCAAAGAUUUUUACUUGUGGCAGGUCUAGCCAAGCUUGAAUCUCUUAACAUCAAUUGUUGCAACUGCAUCAUGGAUUCGGAUAUGAAACCUCUUGCGGGUAUGCCUGCCUUGUUCUGCUAUAUAGAUAGCCUAUAUCUAUGUGAAUUAGAAGGCAGUAAAUUCGGAAAAGAAUUCGACAAACGGUGGGCAGCAAUCAAGCCUUAAUAUGUGUCUGCUCCUGAAAAAUUGAUGAUUAUUUGGAUUUUGGAAGCUUUACUUAACGAAUUGAAAGUCUUGAGUCUCCUUUUCCAUUGUCAAUCACAAUGAAUUGUUUGUUCUUUGAAGGCUAUUGAUGCCUAUACUUAUCAAAUUGGAAAAAAAUGAAUCUCUAUCAAUGCAUAUACUUUUAUCAAAAUGGAAAAAAUUAACAGGUCUUUAAGUAUGCGAGUUUCUUUUGGAUUGGUGCUUCUAUUUAUAUUAAGACAGGAGUGGUGAGGAUUAGAAAAUUCCAAUAUUAACAGGUUAUGGGAAAG